AUUGAACGCUGGCGGCAGGCCUAACACAUGCAAGUCGAGCGGAUGACGGGAGCUUGCUCCUUGAUUCAGCGGCGGACGGGUGAGUAAUGCCUAGGAAUCUGCCUGGUAGCGGGGGACAACGUUUCGAAAGGAACGCUAAUACCGCAUACGUCCUACGGGAGAAAGCAGGGGACCUUCGGGCCUUGCGCUAUCAGAUGAGCCUAGGUCGGAUUAGCUAGUUGGUGGGGUAAUGGCCCACCAAGGCGACGAUCCGUAACUGGUCUGAGAGGAUGAUCAGUCACACUGGAACUGAGACACGGUCCAGACUCCUACGGGAGGCAGCAGUGGGGAAUAUUGGACAAUGGGCGAAAGCCUGAUCCAGCCAUGCCGCGUGUGUGAAGAAGGUCUUCGGAUUGUAAAGCACUUUAAGUUGGGAGGAAGGGUUGUAAGCUAAUAUCUUGCAGCUUUGACGUUACCAACAGAAUAAGCACCGGCUAACUCUGUGCCAGCAGCCGCCGUAACAC
rnacentral:rRNA from 1 species